rnacentral:rRNA from 1 species
UACGUAGGGGGGCGAGCGUUGUCCGGAUUCAUUGGGCGUAAAGAGCUCGUAGGCGGCUUGGCAAGUCGGGGUGUGAAAAACUCCAGGCUCAACCUGGAGAUGCCACCCGAUACUGCUAUGGCUUGAGUUCGGUAGGGGACCACGGAAUUCCUGGUGUAGCGGUGAAAUGCGCAGAUAUCAGGAGGAACACCGGUGGCGAAGGCGGUGGUCUGGGCCGACACUGACGCUGAGGAGCGAAAGCGUGGGGAGCGAACAGG